CAGUGGCUGGCCAUUGAUCCUGGACAGUGGUCCAGAUAGGCCACAUAAUAAGACACCUGUCUGUAAACCAUGGUGAUCAGUCUUCCCUGGGUUAUUCAAUAAACAAAUUCCCAACCAACUAGAACCCUACAAAUUUACAAAUAGGUUUGUGGUACAGUCUUCAAGAAACACAAGAUUCUUUAAGACAUAAAAACAGGAGGAGAUAGUAUUUAACUGGUCAGCAAUGGUCACCCUGGAGAGGACAAAAUGACAAGUUCAGACUUGGAAGCAGGGUAGCACCAUCACCUCUGCACAUCCUUCCACCUUCCUUCUCAGCCUGAGGAGACCCAGUUUUCCUGCCCAUCCCAAUCUCAUCUUGUCCACUAAAGGCACCUUCUAUCAUGGCAAGAAGGGUGAAACAAUGCAUAGCAUAUCUGCAACCUUGUGCUGCCAGAGAGGAGCCGGCCUGCAUCAAACUCUAACAAAACAUAUCCUAGUGUAAUCAGGAGGCCUCACUACAUGAGCAGCAAGUAGAGGGAAAUGGACAGCACCAUCAUACCUAAGGAUGCAUUAUGGACCUUUCAGAGAGUUCAUUAUCAGAAACCUCCUCCAUCGAGCCACCCCAGAACAUGACCAGAUCUGGUGCUUACAACCCAAAGAGUAAAAGAUACUCUUAGGAUAAAACAUCUCCAUUCUCAGGGAAGGAAGUCCAAUGUGAGAACAGGAGCACACAAAGACACAGACAGCAGUUCAUCUCACAACCCCCAGCAGACAUCACCUCAGGAGCAACUCAAUGGCCAGCCCCAAGGUGUGACAGAGCCUACAGAAUCAAAUUGCAAAUUGAUUGCACAGACUGUUCCACUGCCUUCUGGCCCCAAAGAAGCAGUGUUGCCCAAUAACAGACACCUGUCAGUGAAUCAGGAAAACAGCGGAGGCAGUGGUGGAACAAAUAGUGUUGAUGGAGCACCUGGGCUCCCUGGAGGCUGACAUCUGGUAUGGACGCCACCAACCACAGCAGAACCCAGCCUACGUCUAGGCAGCUGUGUGCCUGCACCCCAGGCAAGAGGAUCCUGUCUAGCAUGAAAGAUUCCCAUGAGCAGUGAAGUGUCACUUGCCUAAGGGGAAAGAGGAUCAGAACUAGAGAGAGAUAAGGUGGACAGGCAGAGAGAUGGAAGAAAAAUGAUCAUCUAUCCUGAGAACCCCCAUCUGCCUGCACUGUACGUUUAUAUACAGAAAC
rnacentral:lncRNA from 1 species